rnacentral:rRNA from 1 species
UACGGGGGGGGCAAGCGUUGUUCGGAAUUACUGGGCGUAAAGGGCGCGUAGGCGGCCUGCUAAGUCGGACGUGAAAUCCCUCGGCUCAACCGAGGAACUGCGUCUGAUACUGGUGGGCUUGAAUCCGGGAGAGGGAUGUGGAAUUCCAGGUGUAGCGGUGAAAUGCGCGGAUAUCAGGAGGAACACCGGUGGCGAAGGCGGUUCUCUGGGCAUUACCUGACGCUGAGGAGCGAAAGUGUGGGGAGCGAACAGG